UUUGAUAGGAACUAGGUUUCAGUGAAAUGA
rnacentral:piRNA from 1 species